AUUGAACGCUAGCGGGAUGCUUUACACAUGCAAGUCGAACGGCAGCGCGGACUUCGGUCUGGCUGCGAGUGGCGAACGGGUGAGUAAUGUAUCGGAACGUGCCCAGUAGCGGGGGAUAACUACGCGAAAGCGUAGCUAAUACCGCAUACGCCCUACGGGGGAAAGCAGGGGAUCGUAAGACCUUGCACUAUUGGAGCGGCCGAUAUCGGAUUAGCUAGUUGGUGAGGUAACGGCUCACCAAGGCGACGAUCCGUAGCUGGUUUGAGAGGACGACCAGCCACACUGGGACUGAGACACGGCCCAGACUCCUACGGGAGGCAGCAGUGGGGAAUUUUGGACAGUGGGGGCAACCCUGAUCCAGCCAUCCCGCGUGUGCGAUGAAGGCCUUCGGGUUGUAAAGCACUUUUGGCAGGAAAGAAACGGCGCGGGCUAAUACCCCGUGGAAGUGACGGUACCUGCAGAAUAAGCACCGGCUAACUACGUG
rnacentral:rRNA from 1 species